AUUGACCUCGGAUCAGGCAGGG
rnacentral:rRNA from 1 species